AACCACAACAACUACCGCACUCCCAACUACUACAACUACUGCAGCUCCAACAACUACAACUACUGCAGCUCCAACUACAACAUCUACUGCUCCCACCACCACAACUACUGCACCUCCAACAACUACAAAUUCUGCAGAUCCAACUACAACUACUGCACCCCCAACCACCACAAGUACUGUAGCUCCGACCACCACAACGACACCAAUCACCCUGACCACCAUGUCUACAACCACCCCAGUAAUCACCCCAAACCAAGGCUUCGGGGCAGUGGCAAUUCUUCAGGUGAAGUUAACUUCAAUCAGUGAUAUCAGCAAUGGAACCAUUAUUCAGCUUGUUGAACAGUUCUUUAGAGAGCAGCUCUUGAAUGGAACCAACCACACAGUCAAUGUGACGAACAUUCAAAGGGUUAGAGUUGCCCCAUAGAAGCGUCAUGCAACUGCAAGUCAUAUUGAAUGCAUGAAGAAAGCAAUUCAAGGAGGUGCUGACUGUAUUAAUAAAUAAAAUGCAAUCUUCAUCUCUCAACUACACUGCAGAGGCUUAGAUUUUAGACUGUCUCUCCUAUGCAUCUUCAUCAUUUUGUUCCAUUAAAUAUCAAAAACAAAACAAAACUACAACUCAAAAAGUCAACAUUGAGAUCCAUUUUCGCUGUCUAUAGUCCCCAAACAAUAUUUUCAUCAUUACACUGCCUGCUGUGUUUCCCAUGUGAAUGGAAAUGCCAUUUAUCUCAAGCGUUCAGUAACAAAGAAAGGCUCAAACCAGGCAAUCUGAUCCAUCAAAGAGUUUUUUUUAAGAAGAGUCAGUAAUCCCAAGACUGUAACUGGAGCUGCUGCACUGAGAAGCUUGGCAACCAGGAAAUUACUACACUGUUGUGUAAUAUCUGGAAAAUAGUUUACUGAUUUGGCAACGAUGACUUUGCUUCAUACCAUUUGCAUAACGUACACACAUACCCAUAUGUAAUCCAGGAAGUGAAUUGUUUGUCAAGUAUUAUUUACUAUAUGUUGCAGUUGUGUCUCCUCAAUGUGUCUCCAUUCAAUCCUCUUGAGACUCAUGAUUGUGCAUGGUUAAGUUUGGUUUUGCUCUAUUUGGUCAACCUGCUUUUCCUGGUAAUGAGCUAACUAGUGGAAUGUAAUGAAAUGUAUAUAGAUUGUGACAUAGGUAUGCAGGAUAAACGUUUGUUGAUCCUGAACUUGGACCAGUAUGGCUAUUCUGCUACUGCAAGGCAAUGCAGCAAUGAUUUUUUUAUUUAUUUAUUUGUAUACCUGCUGAUUGAUGUUUUUCUUCUAUCACUAAUUAGAAUAUUGUUUUCAAAUGGUUAUUUUUGCAUUAAAAUUCUAUUUUCUUUGUUUUUUAUAUGUUUAGAUUUUGUUACAUUUUGAAAAUGAUUAUUAGGUGAAAUUAUGUCUGUAGCCCCAAGUGGACUUUUCCCUUAAAGCCACAAUAAGAAUUGGCCACUUGUUGAAUUUAUAUUCCAAAAAGUCAGCAAACUAAAUGAUUCAUUUCACUAUCAUGAUUUGAGUCUAGAGUCGCACAAUUCAGUUAUUUUAUCAUCAUUCAAGUUUGCCAGGUGUCAAACUGAACUCUUGAUGCUAAGAAAACACAGAUACCAAAUGAUUCCAAUGGCGCUGUUAAUUUGGCUGACAAACUUUUUUGGAAGCUGGAACCACCUGUCAGAACAAAACAAUUAUUUUGGACCCAACAAACAUUUAAAAAUUAUUCAUUUACCAUCAUGUUUUAAGAAAAAGUUUUUUUUUUAUUCUGCACCUUUCUACAAGCUC